rnacentral:rRNA from 1 species
AUUGAACGCUGGCGGCAGGCCUAACACAUGCAAGUCGAGCGGACGAAGGGAGCUUGCUCCUGGAUUCAGCGGCGGACGGGUGAGUAAUGCCUAGGAAUCUGCCUGGCAGUUGGGGAUAACGUCCGGAAACGGGCGCUAAUACCGCAUACGUCCUGAGGGUGAAAGGGGGGGAUCUUCGGACCUCACGCUAUUAGAUGAGCCUAGGUCGUAUUGGCUAGUCGGUGGGGUAAAGGCCUACCAAGGCGACGAUCCGUAACUGGUCUGCGAGGAUGAUCAGUAAAACUGGACCUGAGAAACGGUCCGGACUCCUACGGGAGGCAGAGGUGGGGAAUAUUCGACAAUGGGCGAAAGCCUGAUCCGGCCAUGCCGCGUGUGUAAAGAAGGUCUUCGGAUUGUAAAGCACUUUAAGUUGGGAGAAAGAGCAGUAAGUUAAUAACUUGCUGUUUUGACGUUACCAACAGAAUAGGCACCGGCUACCUUCGU